rnacentral:rRNA from 1 species
GAUGAACGCUGGCGGCGUGCCUAAUACAUGCAAGUCGAGCGAACGGACGAGAAGCUUGCUUCUCUGAUGUUAGCGGCGGACGGGUGAGUAACACGUGGAUAACCUACCUAUAAUACUGGGAUAACUUCGGGAAACCGGUGCUAAUACCGGAUAAUAUUUUGAACCGCAUGGUUCAAAAGUGAAAGACGGUCUUGCUGUCACUUUUAGAUGGAUCCGCGGUGCAUUAGGUAGUUGGUAAGGUAACGCCUUAGCAAGGCAACGAUGCAUGGCCGACAUGAGAGGGGUAACGGCCCAACUGGAACUGAGACACGGUCCAGACCCCUACGGGAGGCAGCAGUAGGGAAUCUUUCGCAAUGGGCGAAAGCCUUACGGAGCCACGCCGCGUGAGUGAAGAAGGUCUUCGGAUCGUAAAACUCUGUUAUUAGGGAAGAACAUAUGUGUAAGUAACUGCGCACAUCUUGACCGUAACUAAACAGAAAGCCACGGCUAACUACGGGC